rnacentral:lncRNA from 1 species
GGCACCAGCUGGCUUCCUGAGUGGAAGAAGAAACCAGCUUCAGGCCUAGAGGAUACGCUGCAAUUGGCAUUCAAGCAAGCAAGGUGGGAUUAUUGCUUCCUUGAUGGCGAGGGUUAGGUUUCCUUCCUGUGACCAGCACCCCCGGCCUAGCCGCUCCCUCCCUGGAAAAAGCUACAGACACGUGUAUCCUGGCCAUCUGGGGCUGGGUUCCUGUCCCUCACCGUGCAGAAGGAGCUGUUUUUCAAGGCCUCACAACUACAAAUGCCUCAGACUGCAAGGACUCAUUUGCCACUUGUCACCAUCCCUCUGCUCCUGGACUUAGGGUAACAUUGGAAUGAGAAAUCCCUCCUCAGUCCCCUGCCUCCUCCCUGCCUAGCACAAAACUGGAUGUGUCUCCUUAGCAGGAGAGGAGUGCUGAGAAUAUGCCAGAGCUAAAA